rnacentral:lncRNA from 1 species
AUGGGAAAGUUUGCCCUAGCCAAUAUCCUCUUGGUCCUUCUCUUGAACUUGAGCACUUUGCUCAAUGUUCUUGCUUGUCCCUAUUGCCCUUACCCUUCUCCCAAGCCUCCAAAAAAGCCUCCCGUUGUGAAACCACCGGUUCACAAACCACCAAAACCAUGUCCACCACCCAAGUCAUCUCCAAAACCACCCCAUGUACACCCUCCCUAUGUUCCAAAACCUCCUCACUACCCUAAACCACCAGUUCAUCCACAUCCACCCCAUGUCCCAAAACCUCAUCCAAAGCCUCCAGUGCAUCCCCAUCCACCUUAUGUCCCAAAACCACCAGUUGUGCCAGUUACACCACCAUAUGUUCCAAAACCACCAAUUGUGAACCCUCCCUAUGUCCCAAAACCGCCUGUUGUGCCAGUUACACCACCUUAUAUCCCUAAACCACCAGUUGUGACACCACCAUAUGUCCCUAAACCACCAGUGGUGCCAGUUACACCACCAUAUGUCCCUAAACCACCAGUGGUGCCAGUUACACCACCUUAUGUGCCAAAACCACCCAUUGUGAAACCACCAAUUGUUUAUCCACCAGUUGUGCCAAAACCACCAAUUGUUACACCACCUUAUGUGCCAAAACCACCCAUUGUGAAACCACCAAUUGUUUAUCCACCAGUUGUGCCAAAACCACCAAUUGUUACACCACCUUAUGUGCCAAAACCACCCAUUGUGAAACCACCAAUUGUUUAUCCACCAGUUGUGCCAACACCACCUAUUGUGUAUCCACCUGUUGUACCAACUCCACCGGUGGUUACUCCACCCGUGGUUACACCACCAAGUCCUCCAAGUGAAACACCAUGUCCACCACCACCACCACCAGUGGUGCCAUACCCACCACCAGCACAACCAACAUGCCCCAUCGACACCCUAAAACUGGGGGCAUGUGUGGAUGUGCUUGGUGGC